UACGGAGGAUGCAAGCGUUAUCCGGAAUGAUUGGGCGUAAAGCGUCCGCAGGUGGCUGUGUAAGUCUGCUGUCAAAGAGCAAAGCUCAACUUUGUAAAGGCAGUGGAAACUACACGGCUAGAGUGCGUUCGGGGCAGAGGGAAUUCCUGGUGUAGCGGUGAAAUGCGUAGAGAUCAGGAAGAACACCGGUGGCGAAGGCGCUCUGCUGGACUGCAACUGACACUCAGGGACGAAAGCUAGGGGAGCGAAUGGG
rnacentral:rRNA from 1 species